rnacentral:rRNA from 1 species
UACGUAGGGGCAAGCGUUGUCCGGAAUCAUUGGGCGUAAAGAGCGUGUAGGCGGCUCGAUAAGUCUGCUGUGAAAGUCCAGGGCUCAACCCUGGAAGGCCGGUGGAAACUGUCGGGCUAGAGUCCGGAAGAGGCGAGUGGAAUUCCCGGUGUAGCGGUGAAAUGCGCAGAUAUCGGGAGGAACACCAAUGGCGAAGGCAGCUCGCUGGGACGGUACUGACGCUGAGGAGCGAAAGCGUGGGGAGCGAACAGG